GCCCUUAGAGUUUGAUCCUGGCUCAGAACGAACGCUGGCGGCAGGCUUAACACAUGCAAGUCGAACGAAGCCUUCGGGCUUAGUGGCGGACGGGUGAGUAACGCGUGGGAACGUGCCCUUUGCUACGGGAUAGUCCCUGGAAACGGGGUUUAAUACCGUAUGGUGUCUACGGACUAAAGAUUUAUCGGCAAAGGAUCGGCCCGCGUUGGAUUAGGUAGUUGGUGGGGUAAAGGCCUACCAAGCCGACGAUCCAUAGCUGGUUUGAGAGGAUGAUCAGCCACACUGGGACUGAGACACGGCCCAGACUCCUACGGGAGGCAGCAGUGGGGAAUCUUAGACAAUGGGGGCAACCCUGAUCUAGCCAUGCCGCGUGAUCGAUGAAGGCCUUAGGGUUGUAAAGAUCUUUCGCUGGGGAAGAUAAUGACGGUACCCAGUAAAGAAGCCCCGGCUAACUCCGUGCCAGCAGCCGCGGUAAUACGGAGGGGGCUAGCGUUGUUCGGAAUUACUGGGCGUAAAGCGCGCGUAGGCGGAUUGGAAAGUUGGGGGUGAAAUCCCGGGGCUCAACCUCGGAACUGCCUCCAAAACUAUCAGUCUUGAGUUCGAGAGAGGUGAGUGGAAUUGCGAGUGUAGAGGUGCAAUUCGUAGAUAUUCGCA
rnacentral:rRNA from 1 species